rnacentral:rRNA from 1 species
GAAUAUUGGACAAUGGGGGGAACCCUGAUCCAGCGACGCCGCGCGAGUGAAGAAGUAUUUUGGUAUGUAAAGCUCUGUCAGCAGGGAAGAAAGAAAUGACGGUACCUGACCAAGAAGCCCCGGCUAACUACGUGCCAGCAGCCGCGGUAAUACGUAGGGGGCAAGCGUUAUCCGGAAUUAAUGGGUGUAAAGGGAGCGUAGAAGGUUAAGUAAGUCUGGAGUGAAAGGCCGGGGCCCAACCCCGGGACUGCUCUGGAAACUAUUCAACUUGAGUGCAGGAGAGGUAAGCGGAAUUCCUAGUGUAGCGGUGAAAUGCGUAGAUAUUAGGAGGAACACCAGUGGCGAAGGCGGCUUACUGGACUGUAACUGACGUUGAGGAUCGAAAGCGUGGGGAGCAGA